rnacentral:rRNA from 1 species
CUUUAUCACCAUUCCCCAGAUUGGAAUAUACCCGGAUCUCGUUCUGAUCUCGGGAAAGUCAAAGCAAAUCUCCGGACUUUGGUUAGUACCUUGGAUGGGUGACCGCCUUGGGAACACCCCAAGUGUGAAUAAGC